UUCUAGGGCCAUGCCACCCUGAACAAGCCGUCUGAUCUUGGAAGCUAAGCAGGGUCAGGCCUGGUUACUACUUGGAUGGGAGACCACCUAGGAAGUCCAGGUGUUGUAGGUG
rnacentral:rRNA from 1 species